UUCUAUUCGGUGAUCAACACUGAACACACAGGACUCGCCAUGGAGUUUGGACUGAGCUGGGUUUUCCUUGUUGCUAUUUUCAAAGGUGUCCAGUGUGAGGUGCAGCUGGUGGAGUCUGGGGGAGGCUUGGUACAGCCAGGGGCGUCCCUGAGACUCUGCUGUGCAGCCUCUGGAUUCACCUUCAGUAGCACCAGGAUGAACUGGAUCCGACAGUCUCCAGGGAAGAAGCUGGAGUGGGUGGCUGACAUAAAGUAUGAUGGAAGUGAGAAAUACUAUGUAGACUCUGUGAAGGGCCGAUUCACCAUCUCCAGAGACAAUGCCAAAAACUCCCUCUAUCUGCAAAUGAACAGCCUGAGAGCUGAGGACACAGCCGUGUAUUACUGUGUGAGAGACACAGUGAGGGGAGGUCAGUGUGAGCCCAGACACAAGCCUCCCUGCAGGGGCGUAUGGAACCACCAGGGGGUGCUCAGGUUACACAGAGGGCAGGUGCAGCCCCAGGGCAGCCAGCGCUUCCUGCUGGAGCUGGAUCCGCCAGUCCUCAGUCAAGGGAGUGGGUCGGGGCAUAGGUCACGAGGGAGCACAAAUUCUAACCCCCUCCUCACGAGCUCAGUCACCAUCUCCAGAUCCGUGUCCGAGUAUCGAAUUUUCUUGCAGCUGAGUUCUGUGACCAACUGCCACAAACUUGUAUUCUUGUGA